GUGUGGUAGGGGCAGAGGGAAUUCCCGGUGUAGCGGUGAAAUGCGUAGAUAUCGGGAAGAACACCAGUGGCGAAGGCGCUCUGCUGGGCCAUAACUGACGCUCAUGGACGAAAGCCAGGGAGCGAAAGGGAUUAGAUACCCCUGUAGUCCUGGCCGUAAACGAUGAACACUAGGUGUCUGGGGAAUCGACCCCCUCGGUGUCGUAGCCAACGCGUUAAGUGUUCCGCCUGGGGAGUACGCACGCAAGUGUGAAACUCAAAGGAAUUGACGGGGGCCCGCACAAGCGGUGGAGUAUGUGAUUUAAUUCGAUGCAACGCGAAGAACCUUACCAGGGAUUGACAUCCUACGAAUCUCUUGGAAACGAGAGAGUGCCUUCGGGAGCGCAGUGACAGGUGGUGCAUGGCUGUCGUCAGCUCGUGUCGUGAGAUGUUGGGUUAAGUCCCGCAACGAGCGCAACCCACGUCGUUAGUUGCCAGCAUUUAGUUGGGCACUCUAGCGAGACCGCCGGUGAUAAACCGGAGGAAGGUGUGGAUGACGUCAAGUCAUCAUGCCCCUUACAUCCUGGGCUACACACGUACUACAAUGCUACGGACAAAGGGCAACAAGCUCGCGAGAGUUAGCAUAUCCCAUAAACCGUGGCUCAGUUCAGAUCGUAGGCUGCAACUCGCCUACGUGAAGGAGGAAUCGCUAGUAAUCGCAGGUCAGCAUACUGCGGUGAAUACGUUCCCGGGCCUUGUACACACCGCCCGUCACACCAUGGAAGUUGGCCACGCCCGAAGCCGUUACUCCAACCCUUGUGGAGGAGGACGUCGAAGGUGAGGCUGAUGACUGGGGUGAAGUCGUAACAAGGUAGCCGUACCGGAAGGUGCGGCUGGAUCACCUCCUAA
rnacentral:rRNA from 1 species